AGUACCUUUAACUCAGUCCCGAGAGGCUGGCAAGGUAGCGUGAAUAAUUGGUUCAGCGAAGAGAAGAAUAGGACAGCCUAAUAAGCAGCUUUCUGUGACGGAAGCGGCCUAGGCAUGUCCCUAUCCCUUCAUGGCCAAUCACAAGCUCCUUGCGAUUUUUGCAAGGAGCUUUUUUUAU
rfam:Paenibacillus sp. FSL H8-0548 NODE_51_length_50684_cov_1.38907_ID_11378, whole genome shotgun sequence.